rnacentral:rRNA from 1 species
CGCAUCUGUGCAUGCAGCAUAUCAAUAAGCGGAGGAAAAGAAACUAACAAGGAUUCCCCUAGUAACGGCGAGUGAAGCGGGAAGAGCUCAAAUUUGAAAUCUUAAAGGGUUUCCCUUUACGAAUUGUAGUUUAAAGAAGUGUUUUCUGUUGAGGUUUUGGUAAAAGUUCUUUGGAAUAGGACAUCAUAGAGGGUGAGAAUCCCGUAUUUGACCUUUACUUUCAACUUUGUGAUACACUUUCAAAGAGUCGGAUUGUUUGGGAAUGCAGUUCAAAAUGGGUGGUAAAUUUCAUCUAAAGCUAAAUAUUGGCGAGAGACCGAUAGCGAACAAGUACCGUGAGGGAAAGAUGAAAAGAACUUUGAAAAGAGAGUUAAACAGUACGUGAAAUUGUCAAAAGGGAAGCGUUCGACACCAGUGUUGUUUUUCUGAAAAUCAAUUAAAGAACUGUUUAUGCUAAGCUGUUUAGACUUUAUCAGCUAUCUGUUUAGUUUUGAGCUUUUCUUUAAUGCACUUUUCAGUUAACAAGUCAACAUCAAUUUCUUUUGCUGUAAAAAAGCUUGAGGAAGGUGGCUUGAGAUUCGUCUUAAGUGUUUAUAGCCUCUUGCCUAUGCAGUCGGAGAGAUUGAGGUCUGCAGCGUAGAUCCUUCGGGGCUAAAUGCAUUUGUGCUAAGUUAUAGCAUUUUAUAGGACAACUUGUUGACUAUGAUUUGUCUUGUAGCUUACUCGCUUAUGUUAUUUUACCUACGCUUAGGAUGUUGAGUCGUAGAGCACGCAG